rfam:Globodera pallida, Lindley, WGS project CBXT01000000 data, contig: pathogens_Gpal_scaffold_79_contig_49
CCAGCUGUAGCUCAGUUGGUAGAGCGGAGGACUGUAGUGGUUGAAGAGAUCCUUAGGCCGAUGGUUCAAAUCCGUCCAGCUGGA